rnacentral:rRNA from 1 species
UUUGACUUCAAAUCAGGUAGGACUACCCGCUGAACUUAAGCAUAUCAAUAAGCGGAGGA